rnacentral:rRNA from 1 species
GACGAACGCUGGCGGCGUGCCUAAUACAUGCAAGUCGAACGCUUCUUUUUCCACCGGAGCUUGCUCCACCGGAAAAAGAGGAGUGGCGAACGGGUGAGUAACACGAGGGUAACCUGCCCAUCAGAAGGGGAUAACACUUGGAAACAGGUGCUAAUACCGUAUAACAAUCAAAACCGCAUGGUUUUGAUUUGAAAGGCGCUUUCGGGUGUCGCUGAUGGAUGGACCCGCGGUGCAUUAGCUAGUUGGGUAGGUAACGGCUCACCAAGGCCACGAUGGAUAGCCGACCUGAGAGGGUGAUCGGCCACAUUGGGACUGAGACACGGCCCAAACUCCUACGGGAGGCAGCAGUAGGGAAUCUUCGGCAAUGGACGAAAGUCUGACCGAGCAACGCCGCGUGAGUGAAGAAGGUUUUCGGAUCGUAAAACUCUGUUGUUAGAGAAGAACAAGGAUGAGAGUAACUGUUCAUCCCUUGACGGUAUCUAACCAGAAAGCCACGGCUAACUACGUGCCAGCCGCCGCGGUAA